rnacentral:pre_miRNA from 1 species
GGCGCGUCUUCGGAUUCAGUAUGGUUUAUGAUUUUGUCACAUACUGUAGUUGAAGCGCGGGG